rnacentral:rRNA from 1 species
AUUGAACGCUGGCGGCAUGCCUUACACAUGCAAGUCGAACGGCAGCACGGGAGCAAUCCUGGUGGCGAGUGGCGAACGGGCGAGUAAUAUAUCGGAACGUGCCCAGUCGUGGGGGAUAACGUAGCGAAAGUUACGCUAAUACCGCAUACGAUCUAAGGAUGAAAGCGGGGGAUCGCAAGACCUCGCGCGAUUGGAGCGGCCGAUAUCAGAUUAGGUAGUUGGUGAGGUAAAGGCUCACCAAGCCAACGAUCUGUAGCUGGUCUGAGAGGACGACCAGCCACACUGGAACUGAGACACGGUCCAGACUCCUACGGGAGGCAGCAGUGGGGAAUUUUGGACAAUGGACGCAAGUCUGAUCCAGCCAUUCCGCGUGCAGGAUGAAGGCCCUCGGGUUGUAAACUGCUUUUGUACGGAACGAAAAGGUUUCUCUAAUACAGAGACCUAAUGACGGUACCUGAAGAAUAAAGCACCGGCUAACUACGUGCCAG